UACAGAGGGUGCAAGCGUUGUUCGGAAUUACUGGGCGUAAAGGGUUUGUAGGUGGCCACUUAAGUCAGACGUGAAAUCCCUCAGCUUAACUGGGGAACUGCGUCUGAUACUGGGUGGCUUGAGUGCAGGAGAGGAAUGCGGAAUUCCAGGUGUAGCGGUGAAAUGCGUAGAUAUCUGGAGGAACACCGGUGGCGAAGGCGGCGUUCUGGACUGCAACUGACACUGAUGGACGAAAGCCAGGGGAGCAAACGGG
rnacentral:rRNA from 1 species